rnacentral:lncRNA from 1 species
CAUGAAACAAAUAUUCAAAAGAAUAAGUACGUCAUACAAACUCUUGCUACAGAAGGAAAGAAUAAAGUGUUAUCAGUACAUGUAAUAGAGGGAGAUGUCUGGUAGCAUUGAAGAUAUCCCCGGCAAGGAUGAGAUUUGAACUGAAAUAUGAAAGAAGAGAGAGAGUUGAAUUAAACAGCAUAGAGAAGGGAAAAGUGAAAAAUUCUAAGAGUGAACUGUAUGUUCCAAAGCUCUAUGGUAGGAUAAAAGCAUGGCACAUUUAAGAAAUGGAAGGAAAGCCCACGUGUCUGAAGGAGAGAAACAGAGGAAGAGGAAGGUCAAGGCAUUGAAUAAGAAGAGCAGACCCCAGAGUUCAAGUGUCAUGCGGCCUUGCUGUAGACCUGCGUGCCAACGGUGACAGAGAAGGAAAUAGUGACUGGGUUGCCCAAGAGGUGAUUUACUUUGAAGAGCAUCUGGUUAGGAGGAACUCAUCUCAGUGAGGGAUAAAAGUUGUUUCUAACCGACUGAAAGCAAAUCAUUCAGGAUUUUCCGGUACAAAACAAUAUGAAUUUAUUAGCAGAUCGAUGGUAAGUUUGAAAACACAUGAGGACCCUGACACAAAGUCCUGAUAAGACCAAAGAAGC